UACGUAGGCAGCGAGCGUUGUUCGGAAUUACUGGGCGUAAAGAGUGUGUAGGCGGUGUUCCCAGUCUGUUGUGAAAUCUCCCGGCAUAACUGGGAGGGUGCAGCGGAAACUAGAAUGCUAGAGGGUGGGAGAGGUAAGCGGAAUUCCUGGUGUAGCGGUGAAAUGCGUAGAUAUCAGGAGGAACACCUGUGGUGUAGACAGCUUACUGGACCACUUCUGACGCUGAGACACGAAAGCGUGGGUAGCAAACAGG
rnacentral:rRNA from 1 species